GGUGUGUUAGACGAAUUGGUAGAGUCGUUAGUUUCAGGAUUACUAAUGCGAAAGCAUUGGGGGUUCGAGUCCCCCACACAUCA